CACCCCUGAUAUUAUUCCCAAAAUUGAAACAACUCUAUUUUAUCUCCUUGUCGAAUUGGGAAGAGUGGGAAGGCGUGGAAGAGUGGACGAAAGAGGAUUCUGAAAUUACAAUCAUGCCAUGCCUUUCUGAGUUAAAUAUUCUAGAGUGCCCUUUACUAAAAGCAGUGCCAGACUUCGUCUUCAAAACACCACUGCAGACUCUUUGUAUCCCUGGAUCUGAGAGACUUUUAGAGCGUUACCAAGAAGGCAAUGGAGAGUGGGCCAAGAUUUCUGCUACGAACCCAAACAUCCGCAUUGUCAGAUGAUGGUGACUCGCUAGACAGAUGUUUUAUAUGAAAAUCUUGAGAUGGUGACUCGCUAGGGACUCUAUUGCGGAAGUUCCAAUAACUGAAAUUUUUAUUAUUUUCAUCAAAAGUCAGACUUGAGAACUUGACAGAGACAUGAUGAAUUUCGAAGGUCUA